AACGCACGAGACCUGCGGACCUGCGGAGGGAUCAUUAACAAUUGGAUUGUUGACCCCAUCCACCUUGUGUGCAAACUCGAGAAAAAGCCUACUUUGGAGAGAUCAUUCUUUUGAUCUCUCCAGAGAGGUCAUCCCGAUCAAUCAUUUUUUCUUUUCUAUAAUCUAACAAAAAUAUAAAUUUAAAUAAAAAACAACUUUCAACAACGGAUCUCU
rnacentral:misc_RNA from 1 species